UGUCCAUCUGUCUGUGUCCAUCUGUCCGUGGGUGCCGUGUCUGUCCGUCCAUCGUGUGUCAAUCCGUCUGUCCAUCUGUCCAUGGGAGCUGUGUCCAUCUGUCCGUGCUGUGUCCAUCCAUCCGUGGGUGCCGUGUCCGUCCGUCGGUGUCCGUCCGUCCCUCGCGUGUCCGUCCGUCCGUCCGUCGGCGUCCGUCCGUCGCGGCGCCGCUCAGGCCGUUGCGGGCGCGGCGCCGGGGCUCUCGGCGGCUCCGGCCGCCCAGUGCGGCCGCC
rnacentral:lncRNA from 1 species